rnacentral:lncRNA from 10 species
AAUAUUUCAUAAUAAACUAAUCUAACCCAAGAAAACAAAAAUAUCUAGGUAAAUAUUUCUAAUAAAGUUUAUUUUAAGAGGCAAUUAAAAACUGUUGUUUUGAAAGAUCCAUGAAAUGCUCAGUGAAAUUUGUAGCACUGACAAUGCAUUGACCUUAACUUUAGAAUAAAAAUUUAUUAAAUCCCACUAAGCCAUUGUGCAGCAUAUUAGUAACUUUAUGCAUAUGCCUCAAACAGAUGCAGUUAAUGCCCAUACCUAAAGGGGUUAUUGAUCGUGGUUGUAGAUGAGUCUCCCACUUGUGAACUAUCACUUGACAUGGACCACCGAUAGUCUGCAAUUUAAAAGUUAAACGUCUGCAAUAAUUUCUUAUAUCUUAUUUUCUACCCAUGACUCCAUUAGAUGUUUGUGGCCUAAAUCUUAUACUAAAUAUGAGACCAAAAGAUUCAUCUUAUUAUCAAUAUUAUAUGCCAAAAGCCUGGAAUGUACCAGAUCACAAAACAAGAUGAAAUGCUGGAAGAAAAUUAGAGUGAGGCAGUAAACAAAGAAAAAUGAGAUGAACUGGCACACAGAACUGUCUCAAACCCAUUCCUAAAUCUGCCUACAAUACUCAAUUGUUUCAAAGAAAUUUUCAUUUUUAACUGAUAUUAAUUCUUAAGAUAAAUAUCAUAUAUACUUUCUUUGGUAUGUCAGCCAUCAAUGAGGUAUUGCUAGAUAAAGUAUGUACCUCCUGCUCUAUGCAUUUAGAAAAAGCCUAAACAAGCCUACAAUAGUAAAAAUAGUAGGAACAAGUACUCAAGAACAAUUAUCGCAAGCUACUCAAGGAACUAAAGAACCAUAAUAAAGUUAUUUAUUACAUAUAUUUAAGAAUACUAAGUGAAAAACAGGAAGAUUUCUCAUAUCAUAGGAACCAGUGUUUCUAAAGAACACGGGAAAUUCUAGAAGGGACAUGUGGCCAGGUAAACUUGAAGAGCAAGUGUGAUAAAAGAGGAACUAACAUCCGGUUUCAUUCUUAUGCCUUAGUUUAAAAUCUCAUACAGUGUGACAAUUCCUCAUACUGUUUUCCAUUAUCAAGCUCCCCUACUAAAAAAGAACAUAAAGCUAUGUGUUGAUAACAUAUGCGGUAGUGAGUAACCAUGAAAGAUUCCCUGAGUAUACCUAAAAGACUAAAAUUUAAGUGUUCUAAUUUUCCUUUAAUUUUUAAAAAGAAACUCACUAGUUAUUAUGCUGAAAUAAAACCCUUAAAUACACAUUUUGGAAGCACAUUUUCAAACUAUAAUCUUACAAGGUAUUUUAUUUGUUACAUAAAUGUAAUUAAAUACAGAGAAGCAAAAAGAAAAUACAAAACUCACCCAUAUCAUACCAUUUAGGGAUAAUCACCAUCAAGAUUUUCACAUAUAAUCUUUGAGCCCUUUUCUAGGCAUUAUAUUACACAUACUCUUUUUUUUUUUUAGACAGAGUCUCACUCUGUCACCCAGGCUAAAGUGCAAUGGCACAAUCUCGGCUCACUGCACCCUUGCCUCCUGGGUUCAAGUGAUUCCCCUGCCUCGGCCUCCUGAGUAGCUGGAAUUAAAGGCACGUGCCACCACACCCAGGUAAUUUUUGUAUUUUUAGUAGAGAUGGGGCUUCACCAUGUUGGCCAGGCUAGUCUCGAACUCCUAACCUCGUGAUCCACCCACCUCAGCCUCCCAAUGUGCUGGGAUUACAGGUGUGAGCCACUGUGCCCAGCCUAUACAUACUCUUAAAAAGCCUAGGCAUAAAAGCUUCUCUAUUAUCUUUAGAAGGCAUUAAUAAUGGAUUAAAAUAUUCUCCUACACUUUCUAUAGGAUUUUAAUAUUGAUUAAAUUUGACGAUAAGCCAAACAAUAACAAAUAUGUAACAAAUUAGGCACAUUAUUAAUUAUUAAAUGCAAUAAAUAAUCCUGUCACUUAAAAUAACCAGGCUAAAUUCUUUUCUGAAAUCCUCAAACUUCUGAAGUUUAAAAACUAAAAUAGCACGAUAUAUUUCUUCAAAUCAUUACUCCUGGGAUACUAAAUAAAAUUCUCUUUUUCUCUAGCUAAACACUUCCCUGCUAUAAUAGUUCACCUUAAUUGGUAGACUGGGUAGAUUUUUUAAAAAUGUAAUGUGAAAUUGCUCUUUUAAAAAUAUGGUGACUUUCGUAUCCAUUAUACUAAAAAGAAAAUCAAAUUAAUUCUAGAUGAUGUUUACUAUAACAUUUUUCCUGAAAUAUUUUUUAAAUGUGUUUUUUAAAUAUCAAACUUUCUAAACCUCAAAAGUUGCAAAUAUAGGACAGGCAUGGUGGCUCAUGCCUAUAAUCCCAGCGCUUUGGGAGGCCAAGGCAGGUGGAUCACUUGAGGUCAGCAGUUUGAGACAAGCCUGGCCAACAUAGUGAAACCCCAUCUCUACUAAAAAUACAAAAAUUAGCUAGGUGUGGUGGCACACAACUGUAGUCCCAGCUACAUGUGAGGCUGAGGCACGAGAAUUGCUUGACCGUGGGAGGCAGAGGUUGCAGUGAGCCAAGAUCACACCACUGCACUUCAGCGUGGGCGACAGAGUGAGACUCCUUCUCAAAAAAAAGUCGCAAAUACAUACAUAAAAAUAGAAACAGCCUGGGCACAGUGGCUCAUGCCUGUAAUCCCAGCACUUAGGGAGGCCAAGGCAGGCAGAUCACUUGAGGUCAGGAGUUCGAGACCAACCUGGCCAACAUGGUGAAACCCCAUCUCUACCAAAAAUACAAAAAUUAGCCAGGCAUGGUGGCACACGCCUGUAAUCCUAGGUACUUGGGAGGCCAAGGCAGGGGAAUCCCAUGAAUCUGGGAGGCGGAGGCUGCAGUGAGCUGAGAUUGCGCCACUGCACUCCAGCCUGGGCGAUAGAGCGAGACUAUGUCUCAAAAAAGAAAAAGAAAAAAAAAAGAAAAAGAAAAGGGUGCUAUGAAUAUAAUAUUAAAUGUCAAAAAGAGGUAACGGCAUAGCAGACUGUUUGUUUUGUUUUAAUUCAGAUGUCAGGGGAACUUUAUAGACUGUUGAUAGCAGUAUCUUUACUUAAUCAAGUAAGAAUAAUCCUUUGGAUUAAAUUUGAUAGGGAACAUAUUUCAGUAGCAAUUUUAACAACUCCAGUCUCAUCUGCCCACUACCCCACUGCAUAAAACCACCUAGACUUGAAUAGAAUAGCAUAUUUGAGGAACAGUCCAAAGGGCCAGGUAAACUGAUGACAGAACUAUGUCUAUCAUCAUUCAGACUAGAAAUGUACAUUGGUUGGUAAACUGUUAUAAUAUAGAAAAAAAAGAACCUAGUUUUAAAAUACACUGAAUUUCCAAAAUUGUUAAGCCUACUUUAUUAAACUUUAGAAGGCAAUCUUAAAUUUUCAGCUUUACUUCUUUAAAAAAAAAUUAACAGGCCAGGCGUGGUGGCUCACGCCUGUAAUCCCAGCACUUUGGGAGGUCAAAGCGGGUGGAUCACCUGAGGUCGGGAGUUAGAGAACAGCCUGACCAACAUAGAGAAACCUCAUCUCUACUAAAAAUACAAAAAUUAGCCGGGCAUAGUGGUGCAUGCCUGUAAUCCCAACUACUCGGAAGGCUGAUGCAGGAGACUCACUUGAACCUGGGAGGCGGAGGUUGCAAUGAGCCAUUACACUCCAGCCUGGGCAACAAGAGCGAAACUCCAUCUCAAAAAAAUAAAUAAAAACUAACAACUGAGCACUGGGAAAUUCAAAAUCUCAGUGAUAACCCCAAAACAUGCAAUCCUUUCAUUUAUUUUUUAAUCCUGGUCUCAUUGUACAUGCAAUACUUUCUAAUACAUUAUCUGUAAUAACUUAUUCUUUAAGAUCUAAGAAAAGGAAACAGUUCUGAAACAAAACAUUCUGGAAAAGUCUGCCAAAAUUUUAAGCUUUUUGGAGUAACAUGGGAGAUAGAUCUUUGGAGAAAAAAGUAAUGAUGUCAAUCUAAGACAAUAUUCCAUUAACAGUACUGGUAGAGCUAUUUCACAAUUUAGCAUACAUAAUGUCACACGACUGUAGAAAUGUUUCCAAACAUGUAUAUUAACAAAAAUAUUUUUAAAAAUUUCUUCCCACAAGAAUAAGUCUUAAUGAUUGUUUUCUUAAACAGUUACUGACAUCACUCAGUUAUACCAAGCACUGAAAUUUAAAUAAGACUAUCCAAUAUGUAGAUUGGAAGUUUGUUUUUUAACAAAUCACCAAGCAAAAUUAUUAGCUAGCCAUGUAAUAUCACUGCUUGCAUAUAUCACAAAUUUUUAAAACUUUUACUGAUUGUUUUUCUUCCACAAUUUUGAAAACAAACUGAAUGUAAAAGGGGGUCUGAGGAAUCAAGGCCACGUGCGGUGGCUCCUGCUUGUAAUCCCAGCACUCUGGGAGGCUGUGGCGGGUGGAUCACCUGAGGUCAGGAGUUUGAGACCAGCCUGGCUAACACGGCAAAACCCUGUCUCUACUAAAACAAUAUAAAAAUUAGCCAGGCAUAGUGGUUGCAUGCCUGUAAUCUCAGCUACUUGGAGGCUGAGGCAGAAGAAUCACUUGAACCCAGGAGGCGGAGGUUGCAGUGAGCCGAGAUCGUGCCACUGCACUCCAGCCUGGGCGACAGAACAAGACUCUGUCUCAAAAAAAAAAAUCUCUAUUUUUAGUACAACCAGUAAAAGAAACAGUCACCUAGGCAUGAGUAAAGCAAAGGAAGCUAGGCCAACAGACUCUCUGAGAGUAUUCAAAUCUCAAGUUAACACCUGACAGUAUUUACUAUUCAGAAGAAUUUUAGAUACUAAUAAACUAUUGUACAAAAUGACAAACUAGACUAUUCUGAAAAUAAUUAUCUAUCGCAGGUGACUGAUUGUCUUGUUAAAGGAAGGACUUAAAACUCAAGGGAGAUCGAGGUCAAAAUAAGAUAGUUUGUAAUGAAUCUAAUUAUGAGUGAAUGUUAGCAGCUAUGAAAGUUAGAAACAUAGAUAUGUGCUGAAAAAUAAAGAUGUAUUUCUACAAAAAUGAAGGAAAAAUUUCAAAGGAUACAAUGAAAAACUGGCUAACAUUUGACUAUGAGGAAACAUCCCUAAUUCUACCCACAAGCAAAGAGGGGUGGAUACAGAAAAAAAAAAGUUGAAAUUACAUGUUAAUUCAGAAAGUAUCUUUGGUGAAGAUGUGACAUCAGUGGACUACCUGCAGAUUCAUACCAAUGUUUUCAUUCCAGGAAUACUCACUACUUUUGUGUGCUAUGUUCAAAUAAGAUACUAUUUUGUUUUGUCAUCUGUGAAAUUAUUUUAAAAUGUAACACAUUAACACCUUAUCUUAAUUCACAAAGAGAACACGUCAUUGUGAAAAACUGAGAAAAACGAUUUCAGGACUCUUCUAAACUAAAAGGAAUAUGCCAGAAAAAGCAGUGCAUGGAAGAAAAAUGAAUGGUAAAAUUUCAUUUACUCAAUAAAAUUUUGCAAUGAAAGGAUCUAAAAAUCUGUAGUUCAAACCUUUUGUUUUAUAGAUGAGGAGGCUAAAGCCUAAAGGUCAACUGGCUUGUCCAUAAUCGCAAAACUUUUAGCUUUGGUUCCAAAACUGCCUGGGUAGAUUACCUCCUAAAACUUUCAACACAGUAAAAUUAACCUUUCUCCCAUUUCAGCUUUUUAAUGCUUUCAUUAUUUGUUUUCCUAUCAUUCUUUAUAUUCGUAACAUUAUGUAUUCCAAUAAUUUACAUCAUUUCACAAUUUAAGAUGCCUUGCACAUUACUUCUAUUAUUUGACAAUGUACAACUAGACAAAGUUUCAUAAUACUUCUAUUAAAAAUGUUUUAUUUAAAAAGCGCCACCAACUUUUUUAAAGUGUCACAUUAAGCUGGCAUGUGGAGAAAAAAACUGUAGCCAUAUGCAUGGGAUUUUAUGUAGCUAUUUACUCGAUUCCAUGAAAAACAUACUUACCAUGGCAGCCCCUGCAUCACACGGUACAUGUGUACACGAUACAGAGCACCUACUUAAAGAAACACACUCACCAACACAUACUGUAAACUUUUGCAAGUAUUACAAGGAGAAAAACUUGUUUUUACUGUUAAGCAGACUUCUUGCCAAUUUUUUCAAAAGGUAUUUUGGACUGAUCUGCUGCUUUUGGUAACAUUUUCAAUGAAGAGGAUAAAUACUUAGGUUGGCUUAAUUUGACCUGUGUUGACAAUAGUCUUACUUUAGAAAACUAUGCCCAAAGAACUCAUUAUCAUCUUUCUCAUCCAAACUCCCCUAAGUAAAAUUUAGUUGGUUUCACAUAUUACAAAGCUAAAUUUCAUAUACCAGGAUCCUCAGGUAAACUUUCCAUAUCUAUGACCUAUGUAUCUACACACAAUUGCUUAAGUUAUACUAAAGAACUUUACCAUGAUGCAUAACCCCAUGCCAAAUAAAUGAGAUGCCCUUUUCUUAAGUUAAAGUGAAACUAUUGUCAAGAAAAGCCAACACAAUGAUCAACCACAAUGUAAUUUAAGUUCAAUUACUGUGUAUUCACAAAAUAUUCUUGGAACAAGAAACGUAAUAGGUGCAAAAGACAGCUAAAGUGGGUUUGUCAUUUUUUGUCAUUUUGUCUCUUUUCUUUGUAUAAUGGUGGCUAAGAGCACGAGGUAACAGUGGCUGCUUGCAUUUUUCACACGUAACAAAAACACUUAAUGACUCCCAAAGGAAAUACAUUUUUUAACAAGAGCUAAUCCAUGAUUUGUAUCCUAGACCCCUGCCUAAACCCUUGUUCAUAUGCAGCCCAAGGGUGUCAAAUGUAAAAGUCUGAAGGAAAAGAAUCCUUUCAGCAAAUAAGUAUCUUUAGAAUAAAAGGAAAAUGAUUAACUUUUUUUCUUUUCUGAAUAUGAAAACAAUCCCAAAAUAAUGAAUUGUGAACAGGCAAAUUUAGAAUAGAUAUGCCAAAGGCCUCCAGAAAAGAUAGGGGUCUUAUCAAUAACAUCUUUGAAAAAAUCUAAAAGGAAUCAAUUAAAUUUUGAUCAGAGUUAACACAGCCACUAAGAGAUGGCUGCUGUGAAAUAAUUUUUUUAAUUACUCACUUAAAACAGGCUAUAUACUUCUCUAAAUGUAUUUACAUCACAUAAGGAUUAAAAAACAAAACCAAAAGUAAAAGCUCUGCAAGUGGUUCCUAACUAGUUUACAAAAGUUACCGAAAAUGCACACUUACAGAGAACACAUUAAAACCAAUUUCAUAAGAAUACUGCAGAACAUACUUACUAUGUCUUUUUAAAAUUCCAUGGCAGACAUCAUCUGCCUCUGAAGUGGCUACUUCCUUGGUUUUGGUAAAUUUUAUUAAUCAAGAGUUCUAUUCCUUAUUUGACCAAAGCAAAUGCAUUUUACUUUGAACGUGUUCAAACUUAAGUGAGUUGCUUUUGAAGGAAGUGCUAAAGGAAUUGGAAACUAGAUAAAGAAAACAUACCUUUGGUUCUAAAAAGUACCCUUUGAAGUAGCGAUACUGAACUGAUACUCCUCUACUGAGUACAAUGGUUGCUUUCCAUAGCAUGCUGUGAAGAAAGAAAAUUAAAAGCAGCAGCAUCAAUAUCAAACUACAGUGCAUAAAGACUUCUUAAUUCACAAAACUCCUCAAAUAAAACGUAUGACCAAUAUCACUUAUUUAUUCCUACACAAAAUUUUACAGGCCUACUCUGUAGCAGGCAAUGGGAACACAGGGGUAUAUACUGCAGAAAGAGCCUUAUCUUCAAAGAGCUUCCUUUGCUGUGUGGGUAGACAGAAAAAUAACCAAAGAAGAUAGACAGAACGAAGUUCUGGAGGAGGCUUUUAAAAGGAAGGAAGGUUUUAAUGAGGAAGCGCUGUCUGAGCUCAGGUCUAAAUGAUGAGAAGGAACCAGCCAUAUAAAGAGCCAGGAUAAGUUUCCAAACAGAAAAUUCAAGUUGUACAAAAGUGGAAGCCAGAGUCAGAAUCUUCUGUGACUUCCCACUUAGCGAGGGAUGUUACAUGGCUGAUAAGAGACUUUGGGUCGCAGCUUUUGUGUCACAAAUGAGAGAUAAACAUGAGUUACACUCCUAUUCUUGACUAUCCGUUAUUCUAAGCUGUCCUACCCAGGCUCUGGCUAUUCCUCAGACAAGCAGUCAGAACCUGUAUCUUGUUUCAGGCCAAUGUCUUUCUCUGAACUAUGUUAUUCUAACAGAAACUAAAGAUUUGACUCAACAGCUGCCUUAAGGUCAAGAAUUCACUACAAUUCAUUACUGUAACUGAGUUUUAGCUUCAAAUAAUAAACUAGUGCUAUCCACAGCAUGGUCCCAGACCAUCAUUAGUAGCUGGGAGCUUCUUAGAAAUGCAAAUUCUCAGGCCCUACCCAGACUUAUUGAAUUAGGAACUCUGGGGGUGGGGGCCCAGUAACCUGUAUUUUAACAAGCCUCCAGGUAACUUUUUUUUUUUUGAGACGGAGUCUUGCUCUGUCACCCAGAGUGAAGUGCAGUGGCGCGAUCUCAGCUCACUGCAAGCUCCGCCUCCCGGGUUCAUGCUAUUCUCCCACCUCAGCGUCCCCAGUAGCUGGGACUACAGGCACCCGCCACCACGCCUGGCUAACUUUGUUUUUUUAUUUUUAGUAGAGACGGGUUUCACCGCAUUAGCCAGGAUGGUUUCGAUCUCCUGACCUCAUGAUCCAACCGCCUCGGCCUCCCAAAGUGCUGGGAUUACAGGCAUGAGCCACCAGGCCCGGCCGCCUCCAGGUAACUUUUAUAAACACUUUGAGAACCCCUGUCAUAGACCAUUAACCAAACGUUAAUUCAGCAUGAGUAGUUUAGCCCUACCUGGCUCUGCUAAGACAGGUUUUAGGGCAUUGUCCUUACUCUGAUACAAGCUUAGCUCCUAAAAUAAAUACAGAUAUAGCUCAUUGUAUUGCACUUUAUUAUACUUCACAGAUACUGUGUUUUUUACAAAUUGAAGGUCUGUGGCAAACUUGAGUCGAGCAAGUCUAUCAGUGCCAUUUUCCCAACAACAUGUGCUUACUUCGUGUCUAUGUCACAGUUUGGCAAAUCUCAUAAUGUUUCAAACUUUUUUGUUAUUAUUAUAUCUGUUAUGGUGAUUGCAUGCUACAGAAAAAUCUUUCAUGAAAGGAACAGUUAAUCAAUGUAGUAAACUUCACUGUCUUAUUUUAAGAAAUUGACACUGUCCUUCAACCUUCAGCAACCACGACUCUGAUCAGUUAGCAGCCAUCAACAUUGAGACAAAACUCUCCACCAGCAAAAAGAUUGCAAUUCACUAAAGGCUCAAAUGAUUGUAUCAUUUUUUAGCAAUAAAGUAUUUUUUAAUUAAGGUAUGUACAUUUUUAAAAAUCACUGCUUUAAACAAACCAACAUGGAACAUGUAUAUAUAUGUAACAAACCUGCACGUUCUGCACAUGUACCCUAGAACUUAAAGUAUAAUAAUAAAAAAUAAAUAAAUAAUAAAUAAGUAAAAAUCACUGCUUUAAAGCAAGAAUAGCAAAUGCUGCCAGGCGUGGUGGCUCACGCCUGUAAUCCCAACUCUUUGGGAGGCUGAGGUGGGCGGAUCAUGAGGUCAGGAGUUCAAGACCAGCCUGACCAACAUUAUGAAACCACAUUUCUACAAAAAAUAUAAAAAUUAGCCAGGCGAGAUGGCACAAGCCUGUAAUCCCAGCUACUCAGGAGGCUGAGGCAGGCGAAUCACUUGAACCUGGGAGGCUGAGGUUGCAGUGAGCCCAGAUCGCGCCACUGUACUCCAGCCUGGGUGACAGAGUGAGAUUCCAUCUCAAAACAAAAACAAAAACAAAAACAAAAAAAGAAUAGCAAAUGCUUGACACAUGUUCCCUAUUUUUCCCCAAUAAGCCUCAGAAUCCUUUUCAACAGAGGUUUCCAGGUGGACUCUUCCAAUUAAGAAUAGAAAGUUGCCAUUUCUGCUACCCCAAAAAGAAAAAAAGGGGGGGGGACAAAUUCCCAGUACUACCUCAUCUCCAAAACAGCCAGUUGGAGCAUGUGAAACUAGCCCCACUAGUGCAGAGUAGAAUUACUAAUAAGCUGUGAAAAACGUGCUGCCGCCUCUCCCUCAGCCAUUAUUUCUCAAUCUCCAGGAGCAGGAUCUAGGUAUGUGUAUUUUUUUUCAAGUCCUCCCAAGUGAUUCUAAUGCGAUCCCUGGUAAAGAACCACUAAAUGAAAACAAGAGAUGAAGAAGGCAAAGCAGUGAGUCUUUUUACUCCACUUGUCUAAGCAAAUGUGGCAAAUUUAAGAAUGAACCAGAACCCAGGCAUAGUGGCUUAUACCCAGCACGCUGGGAGGCUGAGGCGGGAGGGCAGCUUGAGCCAGGAGUUCACAAACAGCCUAGGUCUCAACACAGUGAAACCUCAUCUCUAUAAAAAAAUUUUAAUGAGCUGGGCAUGAUGGUGUACACCUAGCUACUCGAGAGGCUGAGGCAGGAAGAUCACCGGAGCCCAGGAGUUUGAGGUUAGAGUGAACCGAAAUCGUGUCAUCGCACUCCAGCCUGUGUGACAGAAUGAGACCCUGUCUAAAAAAUUUUAAAAAAAGAAUCAGAACUAUUUGGUGAACUAAAGACAAAAUAAUCUGAUGAAAUUAAAUCAAAACCAGGAAAGACGGGUAGUCAUAUGGUGGUUUAGUGCAGCUGCCUAAUUCUGAAUUGCCCUUAUAUCCUUUCCCAAAAUACCAUAAAAUCUACAAGGAGGGCAAAUGAAACCACAAGUGACCCACAUCUUCAGCAGUAUUAGGAAACAAUACCAUGACCUUCAAGUUUUCUCUAAGCAGAAAAAAAUUCCAGGAGAGCUCUAGCUGCCAUGAGCCUGUGGGUAGGGAGAGCUGGUAAGAGAAAGCUUAAGACGCUCCCUGAAAGACAGGGGCACAGCAGACUUAGAUGCAGAGCACAUUAAAAUUCCAAAGAAACACAAUUUUAAAACUCACGAAUAUUGUCUAAAGGCACAUGGAUUCCUGUGUAUCUACUCCCUUCUCCCUGUGAAACACUGUUUAUCUGCUACCUGUGAAUCAAUUCUAUUUCAUUGUACAUGCACAACAUAUGAACAACUGGUCCUCUUAAAAUUGUUAAGUGUCUUAUCCUGUUCACAUCUUUUUGACCAAGUUGGCUGAAACUGACUUAGGACAGGCAGGGGUGUGUUUUAGAGACAAGUUCAGAAAGAUAUGAGGUUUCACUUCAGACCAGAGUGGCUGAUCUGAAAAUCGAAGAAAAAAUAGCCACUUGAAGGAAAUACUAGUCUGUGAAAGACUAGUAAAGAAUAUAUACUAUUAAAGUAAUACUAUUUACCAACAGAACUCUUAUAAGGAGAGCUGAGAAUUGGCUGAGAAAAUAUGUCAUACUAGUGACAAACUAGAAAAAAGGGAGUUCUGUGUUUUUUAAUUUUCUUUCUCCUAGCUUACAUUACUGUUAUUUUUUUACUUUCCUUUGUUAUUUUCCGUUGCUUUACCACCAGUGCUCCUCAAACUAUUUGCUGUGAAUGACCAGCAUUUUUUGUUUGCUUUACUCAACCUGUCUGGUGACCAAUAUUCUGAUCUACAUACCCAGUUCAAUGAGAUGUGUCCACAGUGACAUGCAUGGAGUCAAACUGCUAUACACAUUUCUAAAUGCUUGCUCUCAGUUUUUGUAUUUCUCACAUCAUGGAUUGAUUUUUUUAAAAGUCUUUUGGACUGGUACUGGUGCACAGGCCACAUUUUAAGACAUGCUGCUCUACAGGAAAAUAGAGCCUUAGCAAUCACCUAAUCGGGCACUGGAUAUACUUGUAUGCUAUUUAGGAAAACCUAUAACACUUCCAACUAUCCACAGUGGGGUAAGUGCCACCUCUGCUGACAUCCACUCAUCUAUGCUAACCCCUUUUUAUCAUGCAGAUGAGGUAACUGAGGCCUACAGACAUCAGCCGCCCAAGUUCACACUUAACUGCAGAAGAGUGGCUGACACCCAGAUUUACCUUUCUCCAUCCACUGUGCCCAUACUAAGUUUACUGAUGGAUUCAAUGCCACUAGUGAAUACAUUUCUUCAUAUUAGCUAAGCUAUCUAAGUAUGUGUUCCACUCUCUGCUCCUUUUAACACCACAUACUUCAAGGAAAUACUUUUAUAGGCAAAUACAAAAAUUAGAUCU